CCUGCAAAAGAAAGAAUGCAAAUAUGCACUAGCAGCACCAAUAUAAAACACAACAACCCUACCAACUAGCCUCCACUGUGUCCCAAUAUAAAACACCACAACCCUACCAACUAGCCUCCACCGUGUCCCAAUAUAAAACACCACAACCCUACCAACUAGCCUCCACCGUGUCCCAAUAUAAAACACUACAACCCUACCAACUAGCCUCCACCGUGUCCCAAUAUAAAACACUACAACCCUACCAACUAGCCUCCACCGUGUCCCAAUAUAAAACACUACAACCCUACCAACUAGCCUCCACCGUGUCCCAAUAUAAAACACUACAACCCUACCAACUAGCCUUCACUGUGUCCCAAUAUAAAACACAACACUACCAACUAGCCUCCACCGUGUCCCAAUAUAAAACACCACAACCCUACCAACUAGCCUCCACCGUGUCCCAAUAUAAAACACCACAACCCUACCAACUAGCCUCCACCGUGUCCCAAUAUAAAACACCACAACCCUACCAACUAGCCUCCACCGUGUCCCAAUAUAAAACACUACAACCCUACCAACUAGCCUCCACCGUGUCCCAAUAUAAAACACCACAACCCUACCAACUAGCCUCCACCGUGUCCCAAUAUAAAACCCCACAACCCUACCAACUAGCCUCCACCGUGUCCCAAUAUAAAACACAACAACCCUACCAACUAGCCUCCACCGUGUCCCAAUAUAAAACACUACAACCCUACCAACUAGCCUCCACCGUGUCCCAAUAUAAAACACUACAACCCUACCAACUAGCCUCCACCGUGUCCCAAUAUAAAACACUACAACCCUACCAACUAGCCUCCACCGUGUCCCAAUAUAAAACACCACAACACUACCAACUAGCCUCCACCAAAAUAAAAAUAAAAAGUUAGAUAACAGUCCUCAAUUUUCGAACAGUCCCUAAACUCUACCUGCAACUCCCUUUCAGCAUCCACACUUUCUCUCUUUCAUUCCCCCUCUUUAUCUCUCUCUCUCCAUACUUUCUGAGUUUGUCUUCUCUUUCAUCUCUCCCCCCUCUUCCUUCUUGUUUCCCUUAGCACCAGUCCCAUCUGUCAUUAAUUCCGACACCCUCUCCAUCUCUUUCCCCUAGUUUCCUAAUUUUCCUCCAUCUCUCAUCAGCAUGUCUUGACUACAACUGACUCAUCAUUAACUCUCUA
rnacentral:lncRNA from 8 species